rnacentral:rRNA from 1 species
UACGAGGGGGGCGAGCGUUGUUCGGAAUUAUUGGGCGUAAAGGGCGCGUAGGCGGCCACUGCAAGUCGGUUGUGAAAUCUCCGGGCUUAACCCGGAAAGGUCAAUCGAUACUGCAGGGCUAGAGUGCAGAAGGGGCAACUGGAAUUCUCGGUGUAGCGGUGAAAUGCGUAGAUAUCGAGAGGAACACCUGCGGCGAAGGCGGGUUGCUGGGCUGACACUGACGCUGAAGCGCGAAAGCUAGGGGAGCGAACGGG